GAUGAAGAACGUAGCGAAAUACGAUAAGUAAUGUGAAUUGCAGAAUUCAGUGAAUCAUCGAAUCUUUGAACGCACAUUGCGCCCGCCAGUAUUCUGGCGGGCAUGCCUGUUCGAGCGUCAUUACAACCCUCAGGCCCCCGGGCCUGGCGUUGGGGAUCGGCGGAAGCCCCCUGCGGGCACAACGCCGUCCCCCAAAUACAGUGGCGGUCCCGCCGCAGCUUCCAUUGCGUAGUAGCUAACACCUCGCAACUGGAGAGCGGCGCGGCCACGCCGUAAAACACCCAACUUCUGAAUGUUGACCUCGAAUCAGGUAGGAAUACCCGCUGAACUUAAGCAUAUCAAUAAGCGGAGGA
rnacentral:misc_RNA from 1 species